GACGAACGCUGUCGGCGUGCUUAACACAUGCAAGUCGAACGGGUGUAGCAAUACAUCAGUGGCAGACGGGUGAGUAACACGUGGGAACCUUCCUAGGGGUACGGAACAACUCAGGGAAACUUGAGCUAAUACCGUAUACGUCCGCGAGGAGAAAGAUUUAUCGCCCUUAGACGGGCCCGCGUCGGAUUAGCUAGUUGGUGGGGUAACGGCCUACCAAGGCGACGAUCCGUAGCUGAUCUUAGAGGAUGAUCAGCCACACUGGGACUGAGACACGGCCCAGACUCCUACGGGAGGCAGCAGUGGGGAAUCUUGGACAAUGGGCGCAAGCCUGAUCCAGCCAUGCCGCGUGAGUGAAGAAGGUCUUCGGAUUGUAAAGCUCUUUUGCCCGGGACGAUAAUGACGGUACCUGGAGAAUAAGCCCCGGCAAACUUCGUGCCAGCAGCCGCCGUAA
rnacentral:rRNA from 1 species